UGGGGAAUUUUGGACAAUGGGCGAAAGCCUGAUCCAGCCAUGCCGCGUGAGUGAAGAAGGCCUUCGGGUUGUAAACUGCUUUUGUACGGAACGAAAAAGCUUCUCCUAAUACGAGAGGCCCAUGACGGUACCGUAAGAAUAAGCACCGGCUAACUACGUGCCAGCAGCCGCGGUAAUACGUAGGGUGCAAGCGUUAAUCGGAAUUACUGGGCGUAAAGCGUGCGCAGGCGGUGAUGUAAGACAGGUGUGAAAUCCCCGGGCUUAACCUGGGAAUUGCAUUUGUGACUGCAUCGCUGGAGUGCGGCAGAGGGGGAUGGAAUUCCGCGUGUAGCAGUGAAAUGCGUAGAUAUGCGGAGGAACACCGAUGGCGAAGGCAAUCCCCUGGGCCUGCACUGACGCUCAUGCACGAAAGCGUGGGGAGCAAACA
rnacentral:rRNA from 1 species